GACAAGAAACAAUUAUCUCAAACUGACAUUGAUUGUCAAUCCAAACUCUUAAACUAUCACUAAGUUUUAAACUAGACUACUUCUCAGUCAUCUUUAUCCCCGAGCAGA